rnacentral:rRNA from 1 species
GACGAACGCUGGCGGCACGCUUAACACAUGCAAGUCGAACGAAGAUGUUUCACCGUAGCUUGCUACACCGAGACAUUUUAGUGGCGGACGGGUGAGUAACACGUGAGCAAUCUGCCUUUCAGAGGGGGAUACCAGUUGGAAACGACUGUUAAUACCGCAUAACAUAUCGAGAUCGCAUGAUAUUGAUAUCAAAGAUUUAUCGCUGAAAGAUGAGCUCGCGUCUGAUUAGAUAGUUGGUGAGGUAACGGCUCACCAAGUCGACGAUCAGUAGCCGGACUGAGAGGUUGGACGGCCACAUUGGGACUGAGACACGGCCCAGACUCCUACGGGAGGCAGCAGUGGGGAAUAUUGCACAAUGGGCGCAAGCCUGAUGCAGCGAUGCCGCGUGAGGGAAGAAGGUUUUAGGAUUGUAAACCUCUGUCUUCAGGGACGAUAAUGACGGUACCUGAGGAGGAAGCUCCGGCUAACUACGUG